rnacentral:rRNA from 1 species
AAUGAACGUUGGCGGCGUGGAUUAGGCAUGCAAGUCGAGCGGAAAGGCCCGCAAGGGCACUCGAGCGGCGUAAGGGACAGUAAUGUGUAGGUAACGUACCCCUGGGUCUAGGAUAGCUGCGGGAAACUGCAAUUAAUACUAGAUAACGUCUCCGGACCAAAGGUGUGAUUCCACCUGGGGAGCGGCCUACAUCCUAUUAGCUAGUUGGCGAGGUAAUGGCUCACCAAGGCGAAGAUGGGUAGCAGGUGUGAGAGCACGACCUGCGUCACUGGGACUGAGACACUGCCCAGACACCUACGGGUGGCUGCAGUCGAGAAUCUUCGGCAAUGGGCGAAAGCCUGACCGAGCGACGCCGCGUGUGGGAUGAAGGCCUUCGGGUUGUAAACCACCGUCGGAGGGGAUGAAGUGUUAGUGGGUUCUCCCAUUAACUUGACUGAUCCUCGGAGGAAGGGUGGGCUAAGUUCGUGCCAGCCGCCGCUGUAACAC